AUUGAACGCUGGCGGCAUGCUUUACACAUGCAAGUCGAGCGGCAGCGCGGGGGCAACCCUGGCGGCGAGCGGCGAACGGGUGAGUAAUGCAUCGGAACGUGUCCCGUAGUGGGGGAUAACGCCGCGAAAGCGGCGCUAAUACCGCAUAUGCUCUACGGAGGAAAGUGGGGGACCUGCAAGGGCCUCACGCUAUGGGAGCGGCCGAUGUCCGAUUAGCUAGUUGGNGGGGUAAUGGCCUACCAAGGCGACGAUCGGUAGCUGGUCUGAGAGGAUGAUCAGCCACACUGGGACUGAGACACGGCCCAGACUCCUACGGGAGGCAGCAGUGGGAAUUUUGGACAAUGGGGCAACCCUGAUCCAGCCAUGCCGCGUG
rnacentral:rRNA from 1 species